rnacentral:lncRNA from 1 species
ACAUCUAAAUUUGAACUGCUCACUCCCGCACCCUGAGUGCACCUAUCAGCAAAAGACGAAAUGCUGCCAUUUCCCACCUGAGCAAAUCCCAGCAAGGAUGCACCCGGUGGUAUUUAACGACCCUUCGAUGGCGUGGAACUGGGCCGUCUUUUGACAUAUUACUGUCCCCAUCGAGGUGAAUGGUCUCCAGUUAAUGAACGCAUCACUAGAUUUAGAACACACACAGAGUUGCUUACCAAUUCAUCAGUGAUUAACAACAAUCUUUAAGGUUAAAAAGAAAGCAUCAGGAUUAUCAGUAGAAUAAACACAAAAGUAAAUUCGAAAAUUUUAUCACAUCAAGUCAAUUCCAUUUUCUACAUGCCCAAAACAGUCUGAACACCUGUUUUUUACACUUUGUCACACCAGUUGUCAACGUGCUCUCCAAGUGUGGUGAGAGCUUCACAAAUUAAAGCUUGAAUUCAUUUUUGUAUCCUCUGGAACUAAUACCAUGCUUGGCACAUAACCCUGUGAAGGUUUGUCUAGGAAUGGCCAGAGGAACAGUUUGCAGCCAUUAGUGCUGUAGCUACAAAAAGUAUAAAACCAACUCCUGCCUUCCAGGUACUUAUAUUAACUAGUAUGUAAUUUUAUGUGAUUUACUGUAGUAAUUAGUAAGCUGAACUUGGCUGAGACAAAACCCAAAGACUUUAACUACUUUCGUUUCACCAAAAGCAGAACCCUGAGGGGAAGAAAAAAAAAAAAAAGAAUAUUCUAGCAAUAAUCCACCAAAAGGAAAUUCCCAAAGAAAUGGCAAAGAAACCCUCCUUUCAUCUUAAAUGUCUUUUUUCUUAUCCUUCCAAACAAUACCUAAAAAAUGAACUUAUGUUCAUUUUCAAUUUUAAGAGUGAUACUGUGUUUAUUUUGAACUGCUCACACUGGCAACAUUAAUGGCAUUUUGCUACACAGUGACAGGAAAACAGCAGUCACUACUCUUUGAAUAAAUAUAAACAGUUGGAAGAUGAUCCUAUUUCCUGAUGAGUGGCAACUUCCAGGUUGUUAGUUAAAUGCUAACAAAGGUUGUGAUAAGAAAGUAAAUGAAGAAAAGAUAGUUGACAUGAUGCUACCAUUACUUUUAAGUUUCCUUUCCUUACACAAGUCACCAGUAAAUCUCAGUCCUCAUCUGGAGAUAAAACCUACUUCACAGGGCUGUUAUGAUGAUUAAGUGAACACACACACAUCCAUCAGUGAAGUGUUUGGUCCCUACAUCAUUGCAAAGGCCCAUUAACUUGCCAAAUUUCGUAUACUAUGCGAUCCGGAACGAGUGUUUCACACAUUACUCUCCCCAAGCCAGCCAAAUGGUCAUGCGCUGGAGCCCUGCUGGAGCUGUAUUCCUGACACUACAUACUGUGCAGACAUAUAGAGAGUGUACGCACAUAUACAGCACAUGCACAGAGUGUCCACACAUACAAAGAUAGUUACAUGUGCACACAUAAUAUAGCCAUAUAUAUCCUUACGGUGGAUACACAUAUAGUUUAGUGUUCAUAUAUACAUAUUAUGCAGACAUAUACAGAGUGUAUGCACAUAUACAGCACAUGCAUAGUGUGUCCACACAUACAGAGAAACAGCCAUAUAUAUCCUUACAGUGGAUACACACGUAGUUUACACACAGUGUUCAUACAUAUAUAAUGCAGCAUGGAUACACAGCAUCUAUGGCAUGUAUACAUGCAUACACACAAUGAACAUAUGCACUAACAUUAACCAUAAUGUAUACACUAUGUACAUACAGAGUAUAUGCACAUCAUACAUGCAUAGAAUGUAUGUAUAUAUAUACAUAUAGUGCAUGUAUGAAAUAUAUGUAAUGCACACAUAUACACAUAUAGUGUAUUUUUAUAGCAUAUAUACAGUGUAAAUGCACACAAUGUACACAUACACAUGUGUGCAUGUAGUAUAUGUUAUACAUACAAUGUACAUGCAUAAACACAUAUAUAAUAUACAGGCCACAUAUGUGCAGAGUGGUUAUGGUAUCUGUGCAUACAUACAAAUGUGCACACAUAUGCACAAUAUUAAUUCUCCUGAUCCAUGAACACACUUUAUCUUCCCAUUUAUUUUGCCUUCCUGAGUUUCAAAGUCUUACAUUUACCACUGCCAGUUCCUUCCCUUCCUUGGCUAAAUUUACAUGUGCAAGUAUAAUACACAUGUACAUGGUACAGACACACGUGUACAAUGUAUGCAUGGUACCUAUGGACAUACAACACCCACAUAGUAUACAAACACACAUGUGCCACACACACAUGGUACAUAUGCAUACCUACAAGGCACAUACACCUAGGGUAUGAGAGUCUCUAGUUCCAUCCAUGUUGCUGCAAAUGGCAUUAUUUUGUUCUUUUUUAUGGCUGAGUAGUAUUCCAUUGUGUAUAUAUACUACAUCUUCCUAAUCCAGGAGCUUGGGAUAAUAGAUGCAGACUAUUGCCUCUGGAAUGGAUUAGCAAUGAGAUCCUGCUGUGUGGCACUGGGAACUAUGUCUAGUCACUUAUAAUGGAGCAUGAUAAUGGGAGAAAAUAGAAUGUAUACAUGUAUGUGUAACUGGGUCACCAGGCUGCACAGCAGAAAAAAAAAGGUAUUGAGGAAAUUAAAAAAAUAAAAAA